UGGCCAUGUUGGUUAACAGAUCCUCAUCUGCUGGACGUCUGGCGAUGAUCUUUAUCGGUUGUCGUCAGUUGCCAGCACGUUUACUUUGAGAAAAUUAGAGUGCUAAAAGCAGGCUCACGCCUAUAUAUAUUGCAUGGAAUAAUGAAAUAAGAUCUCGAUUUUAUUUCGUUGGUUUUAGAAAUUGAGAUAAUGAUUAAUAGGAUCAGAGGGGGGCGUACGUACUGUGGUGUGAGAGGUGAAAUUCUUGGAUCGCCACAGGACGAACAGCAGCGAAGGCGUUCGCCAAGAAUGUUUUCAUUAAUCAAGAACGAAAGUUUGAGGUUCGAAGACGAUUAGAUACCGUCCUAGUUCAAACCAUAAACGUUGCCAACUGUCUUUUAGAUGCGGUUAUUUAUAUGACUCAUCUGGCGGAUCUCGAGAAAUCUAAGUUUUUAGGUUCCGGGGGAAGUAUGGUUGCAAAGCUGAAACUUAAAAGAAUUGACGGAAGGACACACAAGAAGUGGAGCCUGUGGCCUAAUUUGACUCAACACGGGAAACCUUACUCGGCCAGGACACUUUUAGGAUUGACAGAUUGAGAGCUCUUUCUUGAUUAGGUGGGUGGUGGUGCAUGGUCGUUCGUAGUUCGUGGAUUGAUUUGUCUGGUUUAUUCCGAUAACGAGCGAGACUUUGACUAUUAAAUAGUGCAGUUGUUUGUUUUUGCAUGCAAUUGAACACUUCUUAAAGGAAUUUGGGG
rnacentral:rRNA from 1 species